rnacentral:rRNA from 1 species
UUUUAUGGAGAGUUUGAUCCUGGCUCAGAGUGAACGCUGGCGGCGUGCCUAAUACAUGCAAGUCGAACGAUGAAGCUUCUAGCUUGCUAGAAGUGGAUUAGUGGCG